GUAAACCGGCGGAACUAUCCUCAGUCAAAAAGAGGAAAUUUAGUAAAGAGAAUUAAAACCGGUGCAUAUAAAAGGAGGAAGGCAAGUGGGCAUGGAGGAUGCUGAAACAGCAUCAUUACCUUAUGUGCAGAGGAUGCUUCACGUUGAUGACCUGUGUUGUGCUCACCUAGCUGUGGUGAGCUGACCCCGACAAGCAGUAAGAAGUUUUUAUGUGGUAGAAGAGGUGUGGACUUGCGUCACAGACGGAGUGGGAAGAUCCAAAAAAUUUAAAACCGAAGAAGCAGCAGUGCGUCAGAAACCUCAUCUACUCACAACACUUACGGGCAAGAACCAGACCAAUUCAGACAGAGGAGAGAAGGAGGAGAGCUCUUUUUCCAUUACUGCUUCAAGGAAGAGAAUUAGUAUUUGAUAAGAAAAAUCAAUUAGCUGACAAGUAAGAUGGAGAUUCUGAACACAACCUAUGGAAACCAUCCUUGAAGAAAACCUUUAAUGUAGAGGAUCCGUGAUGGCUUUGCAGUGUCUUCUCUCGGGCUCACUGGGUCCCCAGAGGUUGUUCUGCUGCCAAGCUCUGAACCAUCUUUUUGCUGCUGAUGCUGUCAGAGGCUCCGUCACCAGGUGAUGUGUGCUGCUUACUGCCGAGGCUGAGUGGCUGGAAGGGAUGAAAAUCCCCAAUGCACGGGAAGGAGCUUUAACAACAUCCUAGGACUUGAACAAGCUGUCUUCUGUAGAAGGGAGAAUGUCUUUAAGCUCAGAUCACCUCACCUCGGGGAUGCCUGCUGGACCUUUUGAGAUUACAGUCAAGAAGUGGGGGUUGGACUCAGUAUGGAGAAGAUGGCUUUCUGCUGCCUUCCUGCUUGAACUCCACAGUCUUAAGAUCAGCUGAGCCCAAGAUCUGACUGACUGCUCCAAGGUUUGCCUGCAGUGGUUUUCUGUAGCUGUGCUGCAGAAGGGAAUAGCUGGUCCCUAUCCAAGUACAACCCUUUUGGCAUUUCCCUUACCUUGAUAACUCUAUUACAGUCAGGAAGCGACAGUGCACCAAGGCAGACUGUCAGCCAUGGCAGUGCUUCACACUGCCAUGGAAAGAUGGAAACACAGGUCAAAUGCAGACUCCGGAUCUGCAUUUAGCCCUCAAAAGCUCCUUUGCUCUAAUGCCAGCUCUAGCACCCCUUCCCUUUGUGGUCUUUUGGGGUCCAUUUAACGCUUCUGCCUCAGUUUCUUCCAUCUCUAAACCAGAGACAAUAUUCACAAGAAGGUGUAAGACCUGAUUAGUGUUUGUAAAGUGGGAGUUACUGAGUAUGUUGCUGUGGAUCUGUAGACUCAUACAUACCAAAGACAGAUAUUUCUUACAUAAAUAAUUAAUAGACAUAUCACUGUAAUCCCACUCAGUUCUGUAUUACUUCUGCUUGCAGGAUACAGAAUCAUAAAAUUGUUUAGGUUGGCAAAGACCCUUAAGAUCAUCAAGUCCAACUGUUAACCUAGCGCUGCCAGUCACCACUAAACCAUGUCCCUAAGUGCCAUGUCUACAGGUCUUUUAAAUCCCUCCAGGGAUGGUGACUCAACCACUUCCCUGGGCAGCCUGUUCCAAUGCUUGACAACCCUUUCGGUGAAGAAAUUCUUCCUAAUAUCCAGUCUAAACCUCCCCUGGUACCACUUGAGGCCAUUUCCUCUUGUCCUAUCGCUUGUUACUUGGGAGAAGAGACCAACCCCCACCUCGCUACAACCUCCUUUCAGGUAGUUGUAGAGAGCGAUAAGGUCUCCCCUCAGCCUCCUUUUCUCCAGGCUAAACAACCACAGUUUCCCCAGCCGUUCCUCAUAAGACUUGUGCUCCAGGCCCUUCACCAGCUUUGUUGCCCUUCUCUGGACACGCUCCAGCAACUCAAUGUCUUUCCUGUAGCGAGGGGCCGAAAACUGAACACAGUGCUCGAGGUGCAGUUGAAUAUGCCCAUACAUAGGCUGCUGUGUACAACUGACUGCCUUAGUAUUUAGUUUUCAUUUGUUGUAUGUGAAAAUUCCCAGUUGCCUGUGUUUUUGCAAGACUUUUUUCUACAUUUUUUUUCCUAGAUCACAAGAUUGUCCUGCAUGGGGCCAUUUUUUACCUUUCUGCCUUUGUUUGCCUGGUGUUUAGUAUGCUGCUGGUGUGGCUUGUACUUGGAGAUUUAGAUGCUACCUUAUUUACUAUUAAUGAUAAAAAAAAUUAUCCUGUUUAGGUGAUGAGAAUUUCAUCUGCCUUAAGCUCUGUUUAGUUUGCAUGGGCUACAGAAACAUUUUCCAAUUGGUACUGUGGACAAUUCUUUGAUUACAUUUUAACCAGGAUGAUUUUGUUUCUCUUCUGUGAAAGUAAGCAAUUCACUUUAAUCUUCCAUUUCAGUUUUUUCCCCCCACAUGCUAACUCAACAGAUUUAUCUAUAAAUUCUGAUGAAAGGAACAUUUAAAUCCACAUAAAACUAUGUUAAAUUGGAUUGUUUACAAAAACGAGGGCAUUCAUUUGUGCAAUUUUAAAAAAUUUUUUCAAGAAAAAGUUUGAGAUCUGAAUUACACUAUUAUAUCUUUUUAAAUGAGGACCUGUUUGAAAGUAGUAUAUAUUUCAUCACUACAUCUGACAUGGUGUCAGAAAAAACAAUUGGAUUUAUCUGAUUUAGUACUUAUUGCAUGCAUGCAGGGGAAAGAGCUACAUAAAAGUACUAGCAUAAGGGUUUAGUGGAUAUUUCUUUUCUAGGUAUUUAAUAAGCAAGUUGGAAAUUCAGAUUAAACAUCAUUCUCCCGUGUUUAGAGGACAGUAUGAGUCACCAGAAUCAGAAGGUUACAUUGGGUGUGCUUAUUUGGUGGUGUUAGAUAUGGAAACUUGUUUUAUAAUGCAUCUGUAGAAAUGGAAGUGGGCGUCUCAGUUCAUCUGUGAGCAAAAUGUUCCAUGUUGUUUUCUAUCAUGCUGAUUUUAUCCCCAUGCCUAAUAACAACCACUGUUAUCUGGGAUGAUACUCUAUGUGAUUGAACCAUUGAAUUUUCCUGUGAACAACACAAUCCUAUGUAACUUUGCGGUAUAUCCCCUUUUUUGUCACGGUGUUUACACUGUUGUUGCCUUGCCCAGUUGAAAUUCAGAAAGACUAUAUAUAUACUUUGGCUUGUUCAGUUUGUCUAAUAAAAUCCAAUAUUUGGGACUCUAGUGCUGUAAACUAUUUAAAGGCAGCUAGAAAGAUACAAACAACUCUUUACUGCUGUAAAGUAUUGCUUGCCUACAAACCCAGAUUUGUUAAAUUAUCUUGUUUUAGUCUAAACACAGCUGUAUUGCAAAAUGCAGAUUUCAAUGGUGUUGUAAAGCAGGUAUGUCUUUUUUUAUCCAAGUUUUUCAGCCUUUAAUAACAAUACCAAAUCUGAAAACCUACUUCUGAUUUUAAGCAGUUAAUUUAAGCAGUUGUUUAGUCUCCUCCUUUACCACCCAAACUGAAAAUGUUUCCUUACAGUGAAUGGGCCGUGUAGUUCUCUUGGCCUCUCUUUGGCCAUUUUUCUUUUAAUUUUUUAAGAGCACUGUACCAAACACUAAUUGAUUCUUCAGGAAAAGCUCUAUCACUGUAAAGGGACAGUAAAAUGUGUAUGUUCCAAGAACCUAAACACCUAAGUUGUCCAAUAAUUGGGUUUUUUAAGCGUCUAUUCUUGAAUUGUAGAAAUCUGAGGAAGAAAAAGUAAGACUGGACUUGGAUGAAUGGCAUCUGAAAUGUAGCCACACUGUAGUUUCCUGGGUGUUAACAUAUAUGCAACUAACACAAAUGAGCACAAUUAGCACAAAGUCCUGCAUCUACUCGUUAGGCUCAGGCUGAAGUGUUGCCCCAGUGAUGAAAAAAAAAUGCAUCCCUAAUACCUGAAAUCUUACUGCAAUGUCAGUUUGGCCAUUCGUUCUUCCUGGCUGAUGAGUUCUCAGGGGCUGUUCUGCACCCCUAAAAGAGACAAAAGUAAACACUGCUGAAAGGCGGUUGAGUACCAGAGGAGUAGAAGUUGGGGUGCUACAAAGGAAAGUUUAACUCUUGAAGUUGGUCAUAUUUUCUACGCAUAAAUUUGCCCUGUAACUUUGAAAUAUUUUGUUUAGAAAAUUAGAAAUGGCAACUAUCACCAUAAACCUCCAACAGUUUUGGUUUAGACUUAGAUUUCAAUUAGUUGGAACCCCCCUGAAAGUGGAAAGAAA